rnacentral:rRNA from 1 species
UAUGUAGGGUGCAAGCGUUGUCCGGAAUUAUUGGGCGUAACGAGCGUGUAGGCGGCCAGGUAGGUCAGCUGUGAAAACUCGAGGCUCAACCUCGAGACGCCGGUUGAAACCAUCUGGCUAGAGUCCGGAAGAGGAGAGUGGAAUUCCUGGUGUAGCGGUGAAAUGCGCAGAUAUCAGGAAGAACACCCGUGGCUAAGGCGGCUCUCUAGUACGGUACUGACGCUGAGACGCGAAAGCGUGGGGAGCGAACAGG